AUACGGAGGGUGCAAGCGUUACUCGGAAUCACUGGGCGUAAAGCGCGCGCAGGCGGCUAUUUAAGUUGGAUGUGAAAGCCUACGGCUCAACCGUAGAACUGCAUCCAAAACUAUUUAGCUAGAGUGUGGGAGAGGAAGAUGGAAUUAGUUGUGUAGGGGUAAAAUCCGUAGAGAUAACUAGGAAUACCAAAAGCGAAGGCAAUCUUCUGGAACACUACUGACGCUGAGGCGCGAAAGCGUGUGGAGCAAACAGGAUUAGAUACCCUAGUAGUCC
rnacentral:rRNA from 1 species